rnacentral:ncRNA from 1 species
GCCGUUGCUAUGGUAAUCCUGUUUAGUACGAGAGGAACCGCAGGUUCAGACAUUUGGUAUAUGUGCCUGGCCGAAAGGCCAAUGGUGCGAAGCUACCAUCUGAGGGAUUAGGACUGAACGCCUCUAAGUCUGAAUCCCGUCCAGAUAUGCAACGGUACUUUCUGUGCCCGUUACGUGGCAAGGCUUGCUUACGUUUUCCUUUUGGUGCUUGGCCCAGACUAUGUGUCUGGCCUGGCCAAUUAGGUCUGGUGUAAUGCCAGAGCGAUUACGGAAACCGUAUACCGGACCUCGGUGUGCGGAGGACGACACCAUAUCCAAAUGUAGAAUGAGCGUGAAGGCACUAAAUCGUCAGUAGACGACUCAAUUUUUUGUCGGGGAGGCAUAAGCGUUCGAGCAGCUAUCACACUGCGAGACGUUGAGCCCUAUCCCUAUAUGACGUAAUGAUUU